rnacentral:rRNA from 1 species
ACUAGAAUGAAUGGCUAAAUGAGGACUAAACUGUCUCUUGCAGGCUGGCCAAUGAAAUUGAUUUUCCAGUACAAAAGCUGGAAUAAAAACAUAAGACGAGAAGACCCUGUGGAGCUUCAAAACCGAACUCAUUAAACAUGUUUCUUCGGAUUUUUAGUUGGGGCGACUUCGGAGAACAAAAAAACCUCCAAAACAUGACCUACCCACUUUGUCAAGAUCAACAUACCAAAACAACUACAUGAGACCCAGCAACUACCCUAAUGUUAUCUGACCAAUGAACCAAGUUACCCCAGGGAUAACAGCGCCAUCCCCUUCUAGAGUCCCUAUCGACAAGGGGGUUUACGACCUCGAUGUUGGAUCAGGACAUCCCAAUGGUGCAGCCGCCAUUAAAG